GCGGCUCGGUGGGGCUGGGCUCUGCCCCACGGGCCGCUGAUGCUCGGGAGAGGGGCGGCAGCCGAGGGAAGGGGACCCGUGUCCGACUCUGUCCGUCGUUCAGAGCCGCAGGGUAAGCAGUCGUGCGGAGGGGGUAAGCAUUCGCCUUCUACGUGUUUCAGAGAUGUUUGUGGCAGAAAUCUUUGCUUUUCUAAAGAAAUCUGUAAUUCUUUUUAAAGUAGGAAUUUUUUAAAUAUACUGAUAUAGUCAGGUGGUGAUACUCAUGUGAGGUACAGGUGACUAACAUGGUUCUAGGGGACGUGCGUAGGGGUGACUCUAAAUGGAAGGCAAACGCUCGAUACUUCAUUUUGUUUUCUCAGCCAGAUGAGAGAAUCACUUUUUUCCCCUCGCUUCCGGGCUGACACAUUGUGCCGUGGUCCUCCUGGUCACAUCCCUUCCGAACAAUAACAUCCUCUCAGCUGCCAACUCCCGGACAAAAGUAAAUGUUUCCUAAGAGGCUAAGACAGAUUAAUAGCGAAGUUCCCAAAUAGAAGCUUCUAUUAAAAAAAAAAAAAGUUUCAUUUUGGAUUUUAAAAUGACAUUUUUCUGUAGAUAUUCUGCAACUUGUAUGAGAAAGGUGUGCAUGUGUAUCUGCGAGUACCUUUUUUUCUUUGUUUCUUAAUUUGGGGAAAGAAGGUUCCAUUGUAAUUUAGGAAUGCAGUAUUCUAACUUCUUAGAGACUGCUGCUGAGUACAUUAGGGUCUGGCCGUGUUCAAACGGCCCCACAAUAGUAUACAGGGUUAUAGGGAUGUUUAUGUGCAGUUCUCAAAUACAGACUGAUAAUGUGAAUUUCAGAUUGAGGAUAAUCCAGGAUCAGGAAGAAAGCAAUAUUUAUAUAAAGUGCUGAAAUAAAGGCUGUUCAAAGACAUGAUGUUAUCUUGGAGGAGAUGUUUGAAUUGCACUGUAGGUUUUUGUGCUCUGAAUAUUGUACUGUAAAACGUGUCAGUGAGUUAGGAUGAACCUUCAUGCAUUUUUAGCCCUUUUUCUUCCUUGACCCUCCCACCUGAGAGUACAGUGGCACGAGAAGCAGGUUUCUUUAAUUAUCUGACAGGAAUAUGUAGUCAUAAAAAUGUUUUUGAGUAAAUCUAUCCGUUCCAUGGUAGCAUGCUUCAUACAAUUCUGCAUCCUUUGGUUUCUGCUUGAAGUAAAAUUACAGGGGCUCAUUUUGUGCUGGAACAACCUUUCGUAUUAUCUAAGGGAGGUUUCUGUAUUCUCUUACAGACACCGUGAAAGCAAAAUUUACCUCUGGGUGUUCUAGUGGUAUUUAAUAAUGGUAUUUGUAUAGGUGGGCAAUACCUUGAUAACCUGUGUCGGGUAACUUAUUUUGGAAAGCUUUUCUGGGAAUACACCCAGUCUGGCUUGUACUGACAGGCUUGGGAAGAAAAUAAGGUUUUUCUUGCGUGCCAAAAGACGAUACGGUACUUAUUUUCUUAUGUCAGAUGGGAGAUGAAAAUCCAGUAUAUCUUACUGAUUUGUUUAUAGCAAGUUGCAGACACAGAUUCCUACAGUGCAACUGUUAAGCAUUUGCUUCACCUCCACGGGGAAUCUUAUCUUGCUGUUUCAGGUGGUAAAUGUCUUUCAUAAGAAGUUUUUAGAAAUCCACGCUUAGUUUCACUUACACCAAUCCAUCAUGAUGAAAUAAGUGUUGCCAUCUAGCCUGACUUGAUGCUUAUAGCUGGGAAGAAAUCCACUAAUUGCAAAUUGUUUAGUAUUUUCUGAGGCAGUUUCCGUGUUUGACAUGGAUGCGUUUUCUGUAUCAGGACUUAUUUCAACGGAAGUUGUUCACCAACACAAUUGCUCUUUGUUAGUGAUUAAUUCAGUCUUUAUUAGUGAUUAAUUUUUUUCUCACCCCAAGCUGUUCUUGUAGGGUUUUUCUGUAUACUGUGAAAAGUGCUCUGUUGGGCAAGGCAAACAAAAUACAGCAAGUGCAAUUCAUGGUUUGCAUUCAGGGCGCCUCAGUUCAUCAGAAGACUCUUCAAAACAAUCCACAGGGAAUAUCCAAAGCUGGAAAAGGAGUAAGUAGCCCAGAGUAGGAUAUUAGAGCAGGAUGUGAAAGAGCAUCUAAGACUGGGUGACGGUUGCUUAAUGACUGAUGCUGCGAUGUGUGCGUGUCAGUCACUAGGCGGCUUUCUAAAAUGCCCCUGCCUAAGGAGGACAACUAAGGCUCACCAACACAGGCAUCCCAUUUUUCUCUUCAAGGGGUUUGAUGGUGUUGGAAAGCAUCAUUCAGGAUGUUUACAGCAUAUACUUGGUCCUGAAAUUCAUACCUUAAAGAAAAAAAAAAAAAAGUACUGUCAAAUGUCAGUGUUGGUACUUACCUGAAAAAGCAGAAACAGGAUGAGCAGCGUGGAGUUUCACUGGCAGAGGUCUUUGGAAGCAAGCAGAACUUGCUGACAGAAGGACACCCGGGAUUAAACUGCAUUUGAGAGCAGCUGGACAUUUAUGGCUUGGUCACCAGCUUUUUUACUGUUACUGGGCUCACCUGAGAUCUUGAAGUAAAGUCCCAGCUUUAUCAUAUGAUGUAGAAAAAUGAACCGUAACCACAUCUUUUAGAGCAGAGAAUGGCAUGAUAAGCAAGGGAACAAUAAGCACAUUUUAUAGCCAACCUGAACUUGGCAGGCGUAGAAUUGGAGAGCAGGACUGAGCCACAGAGGUUUAGUAGUUCAGACUGAGAUUUGGGAAAGAUACCUAUUUGUGCUACAUUACAUACAAUGAAUUAACAGCUUUAAUAUAUUAAAAACAUAGUGGGAAACAGGAACAAAACUGACAAAUGCUCACAAGACUUACUUCUAUCAUCUGUUUUUACUUAACUUGUGGUCGUCAUGUGUCUGCCUUAAGGGAGGUGGAAACUUGAGUACUGUAAUUUUACAUAAAAGGCUGUGACAUUUCCACGCUGGAAUUGUUAAUUACUCUCUUACAACAUUAUAUCUGUAUUUAAAUGGUUGCUUUUAGCAAGACAACUGUAGUGACAUACUUGUGAGAAAAGCUGAAAGUCCAGGGCCAAGAAAUACUUAGCCCCCGCCUUACUUUUACUCCCUAGAACGUUACUGACAGAGUCCUUAUAGAUAUCUGCAGUAGGUACUUGCAUACUUCAGAUGCAAUAGAAAUAGUUUAGUAGCUGCCUCCGUUGCAGUAUCUAACAGAAAUGUAGGACUGGUCCUGGAGUUUUUUAACAGUAUUGCACAGGUCAUGUUAACCUCUCCCAUAAGUCUGCAUCGUUCUGAGUUUUCACAUUAAGUUCUUAAUAUUACCAUUUUCAGCAAGCCCAACGAUUAAAAAAAAAAGUGUGCAGAUUUUCUGGGUUUACUAUGGUAAUGCAAUUUAAACAACAUCUUAGUGAAGAACUCAUCUCCUGAAACACUAAGAUUUGACAAGCCUGACGGCAUGUUCUGUUCCUUUCUUGAACGUAAAGAGUUGUCACUGUGACUCUUGAUGGUGUCUGGAGGACUGGGACAGUAAAAACAGUGCAGGUCAUUUCUCAGAAUCACCCUGCAAUCUGUGCAGCACUGGGACUACCUUGGAUGUUAUCCUGCCAUUCCUGUUUAACCUGACAUGGCCCCUACCACUGUGGAGAAGGAUGUGGGAAAAAGACAACUGUCAAAUCAAAUCUUGCACUAGUAGAAGCUUUCAGCACCUCACUGGCUGUGUGCAUGUGUGAGUGAGGGGCCGGGCUCUGGGUUGUCCUUCUCCUGACUGUGCGUUAAGAGGUGAAUGUUAAGUCCAAACUUGUUGAGGUGGUUGGUUUCGAUGACUAUGGGACCUGUUGAUUGUUGCUGGCAGCCUUGGAUCUGGACAACAGGCUGGAAGCUGAUUAACAUUUUAGUACUUGGAGUCUGAGUAUCGAGUACUGAGGAAUUCUUGCUUCCAGCUCUGCUGCUGACCUGCGGCACCUGCAGUGCCAUUUCUUGGUGUUGGUAAAUAGAAAUCAGGUCUUUCCCUGGCACUUCCAUGUUUGUGCCCUGUUUCUAGUUGUCCAGCUUUGCCAAACUUUUAAUUGUACAUAGGCUGAAGCUUUUCGUCUUGGUCUGAAGGUUUAAGUCUCUGGGGAACUUCAGUCAAAACAGUGCAUGUUCUUUUGAACCCAGGGUUAGGAUGUGGUGGUCGUUCGUCUAUGUUCAAAUACUCUCAAAGAUGGUUUUUUUGAAAUCAUUUUUCACUUCAGUGCUUUGGGAUAGGAACUCCCAUUUGGGUAGGGGAAAUGACCUCUGUGUAGAGGAUGCCCCCCGUGUUUUGUUUUUACCUCUACCUUUGAAUUUGGCCAAAUACGUUCAUGUUUGUAAAAAACAGAUAGCAUGUGCUCAGUAAAAGUGGUUUUGGUAUGUGUGUGUAUCUUUGUUUUAUACCAAAUAAAAUCUGCAUUGGUUUUAUCUUCAGUGAGCAUGCUCAAACCUCUUUCUUUCCCAUAGAAGAGCUCAGCGUGGGACAGCGACAAUUACAGCCAUGUAACUGCGGCACUGGGGCUGAGCGGGGAGGAGUGUGUCAUCCCAGCCUCCCGCUGAUGCCUUCUCCUCUAGCCCCUCUUCCCCUGUUGCUGGUAGUCCUAAGGAAGAUUCCCAAAUCCAGCGUGUGGCUUUCCAGUGCUUAAUAAUGGAAGGGGCUAUAGGUGAGAGGGAGAAGAUGUUGAUGACAGAUGGGGGUAAACACAAGGGGGCAAGGGAAGGGAAUUGCAUUCAACUUGUAGAGAACAGGAUUUGUUGGGCAAAGGGCUGGGAUGUGCAUGAGAUAAGGGACUGGGAUUUGAUGAGGAGGAGCAGCGGGAAGCUGGGACUGGUUUAAUUGGAAAGGUCAGCUAGGAGCAUAUGGGAGGGAAGGAAGGGAUAUGGAGAGAGCAAGCUGUGAGGAGAAGUAGGGACCAAGAGCUGGGCUGCAGUGAGGUGCUAGGAAUUGCCCGGAGACCAUUGUUUGGAGGAGAUGGAGGCAGGGGAGAGAGCUCAGGGGGGUGGAGAGCAGGGUGAGGCAGAAUCCAAAUUGUAGAGGGAAAACUGGUAGCUCUUCAAAGACAGGUUUUCCUGCUUCUCUGUUCAAACAGCUAUGUAGACAACUGGCAGUGGACCAGCUCCUCAGUGGAGUGCUGGUCCACAGUGCAAGGGUGGCUUGCCUUCCAUUAUUCCUUCCUCAGCCCUUACAAACACAUUUCUCCUGCAAACCAGACUCCUCUCUUCCCCUCUGCAUAUUAACUGCACCACAGCUCUCCUAGCAGCAUCAGGGUGAAGUGCAUGGGAAGAAGUGCUCUCCUGCAAAACUGAAGUUUUAAAGCUUAAGCUUGUAAAAAUAGAGCCUUCCCCUGCCUCUGGUCCUGUCAGACUCAGCCUGUGAGUACAAGGGAUGAUGCGAGAGCUGUCUCAUCCAGCUGCCUUUGCCGGAGGUGCGUUUGGGAGAGCCUUUGCGGUCCCUUCUGUGGUGGGUGUCGCCACCAGAACAGAGGAGUCUGGAGGAGGUCCUUGUCCCUGGCCUUGGUUCAAGUGACAGAUGUCGCACACUGGAUUUGAAAGUCACAGUUCUAGCAGUGACUCACAUGUGUACCACUGACAUCUAUUGUUUUCAGCAUGAGGUGUUUAAAAAAUGCCAGGAAACCUGUGAAAUAUGUGCACGCUGUUCCAGAGGCGCUCGAUGUCUGUGCUGCAAAGUCAAGCACUAAAGGAAAUCUGCUGCCUCCCCUUUCCUGCUCCUUGACAGUCAUCUAUGACAAGUGGUUGUUUUUUUCUCCUCUGCAGCACUCUGUCAACACAUGAGGUUAAACCCAUCUGGGGAAGGAACGGGUCAUGCAACGUGUCUGACACCGUGAGCACUGUCUGGUCUGUGGCAGAAGUUAGAAAGCAUGCAGGAAUCCAGUAGGAGACUGAAGGAGAAAGGAUGGGGGCAGUGUCUCAUGGCUGAGGUAUUCAAAAGCUCUUAAGAGGAACUGGACUCAGUCCCUGGCGCCAGACUAUCUGUGAGAUGUUAGACAAGUAAGUAAGCUUUUCUGAAGAGGCCAAGUCCGUAUCGGGCUGCCAGCAGCUGAGUGACACUUUUGGUAUGCUGGAGUUGGUUUUGCAGAACUGCUGUAGCAGCGGUCAGCAUGCGGGUGGGCCUUGUCAGGGAGCACCGGUGGCUCACGGGGUGACUCUGAACCCCUGAGUGAGCAGCUAGUUGUGAAAAGGGCAAAUGUACAGUGGCACCGACAUGAUCUCUGUCUUAGCUUCCCACGUCCCAAGGGGAUGAAUUCACAUUUUUAAUAGCUACAGAGAAAUGUCAAGUGAAAUAACGGCCCUCUGUCUUGGAGAAGAGUAAGCUGCAUGGUUUAAUUAGCUUUGAAGUCAAGGUUGAAAGAGGAUAGGGGUGCACAGCAUCGUGAGCAGCAGUGUGGGAGAAAGGUAAUCAAGCUAUGGACAAUACUGGCAUAAGAACAGAUUUUUGUACGUGAGCAAUGAAUCAUUUCAGCCUGGAAGUUGGAAGAAAGUGGGUUUUCACCAUGAGAACAGUGUGGCAGGAAGGGAAGGAAAAAAGACAACUUGUUUUAAAAGACAACUCUGUUAAUUUAGAAAUAGAAAAGAACUGAUAUGGUAGACAACCAUGUUAUGGCAAGAUAUGAAGUGUGUGGUCCAGGAGCCCUGUGAUCCAGGGAAAGUUCUGUACAGAGUGCUGAAGUUUCCUGAAAAAUCAGCUUUAAUGGACAAAAAGACCCGAGCACCAGUCUAAAGAUGCUUUGUACAUUUUCUUUGUGCUCUGUGAAAAGGAGGCAAUGCUGACCUUCUGGGAAAUGUUGUAAAAUAGUUUGUUCUGGAGUACUCUGCAAUAGGUUAAUGUCUCUAACAUUUCCUAGGAGGAAAUCUGGUAAUUUUGUCUUUGCCAGUAUUUGUAUGAAAUAUAUUAGAGCUGUACAAUAAAUCGAGAACAAACUCCACACCAUUUACUUAGUAAUUUUUGCCCUAGUUUUUUGCGAAGACGAGAGCUGAGGGGAAAAGAAAGGUGGUAUGUGUUUAUGUAAGCAAAAGCUGGGUGGUUGUUCACUUGCAAUAGGUAGAAAUCUGGGCUGUGUAGGCAAGCAGAGGGUGUGGGGCCAUACAGCCCUGGCUGCUGAUGAGCUGUCUUUAAUGUUUUGCAAUAGAUCUGUGAAAUGAUUAGCCCCUCGUUUAUGCACAUGCAUGAAACAGUACUAGUUUCAGGUGUGCUCUGGAUAGCAUUCUAAGUGCAGCAAAGAUCUAAGUGCACUUGUUAAAGCAAAGCAAUAGUAAUGGGCUGCAGGAGAUCAGUCGAAGUACAGCAGAGGCCCCUCCAGUGGAAGUUUUGGAAAUCUUUCUUCAGCUUUUCACAGUCAUUUCAGUAACUGCUUGAGAAAGGAUGACUUGGGUGAAUUGUCUCCUCCCUGUCCUUUUUUUUCAAAAAACAGUUUAAGAACAAUUAGUGAUACCUUUGUCUCAAAUUGAUUUAAAGACGAUAGGAUGGGACAUUUGUCACCCACCCCAAAUUGUUCUUAAAAUCAUAAAGGAUGGAGACUUCCCUUAUCCUCCAGCAGUCCUUUAUUCCAAUAUGUCAGUAUAUCCACUGAUGUAUAUGAAUCCUUCAUUUAGUUUAAGCCUACUACUUCUCUUACUGGCUGUAGAAAACAGCCUGCUGCCAUUUCUUUGUGCUAAUUUGGUCUUACCACAAGCAUGUAAUUAUAUGAGUCAUUUCUACACAACAACACCACCACUCCUAAUCAGCCUUCAAGCCUGUUAGUUUCCAAUUCAGGCCUCAAUUUAACAAUUCUUGCUUUGAUAAAGCGCUUUGGUUCAUUCAUCCUUUCAUAUGGAGCAACUUCCACAUGACACCUGAUUCAAGCCCCAGAACUACUUCCAGUUCUGCAUUAAUGCCACCAGAUAAAUCUUUUAGUUGUUUAUAUAACCUCAAUUUCUUGCUUGAGGAGGUGCUUCUGCAUACCUGAAACUUGGUCUUGGCUGUUCACAAAGGUUCUUAUGUUUUAUUGUUGGGUGCUCUAAGACAUGGAAACUGAUAGAAAGGAGGACUUGAGCUGCUUCUUUCUGAUCAAGUGACUGUUGAUUAUACUCUGCAGCAGAUGAGCCGUCACUUUAGCAUCAAUUUCAUUUUGCACCUUAAACUGUAAAUUGGAAACCGUAUUUUCCUAUUGAUAACAAAUUCUCAGUAAAAUAUUUGUGUUAUUUGGCUCUUCUAAGACCUUACAAUUAAAGCAAUUACAUUCAGAUUGGAGGUAACUAGCUGAUACUUCCUAAACUUUGUUCCUUAAUGGGAAGGAGUUAAAAUCUUGGCAGGUAAUGUAGGUUAUGUGUAGCUGUCUUGAUAUUUCUGCACUGGAAAAUGGCCAUCUUGCUGCUUAUAGCUCUCCACUACAGGUUAAGUAUUACUUGUAAACUGCUAAUGCUAACUUUGAAAGAAACAGCUAGUCAGCGGUUUUAAGACUGAACAAACUCAGCUUAUUUCUAAAGCGAGUUUCAGGUUUCUUGGAGCUGUCGAAACCUGUCCUGUCAUGUCUGUACCUACAGCUCUGCAGAUUCCCGCUGGGAGGAAUUCCACCCCCAAGACACUGAGCUCCUCAGGCCUGCCCCUGGAGCACUUCUCAGUGGGUAGAAGCAGAGAGUGAAAUCACUUUACUGGCUACAGAUCAGGCUUAUUUCUGCUGGAAGUUAUUUUUCAGAGGGACACUCCCAAAAAUCCCAGGCCAAGAAGUAUCUGUGGUUUCUCAACUGUGUGGUAGUAAACUCUCCUCCCCAAACUUGGGAAGCGAGACCCUCCUCCUGCACUGCAAAUAAAGUUGCAUAGACUGCUUCUUAAAAAGAGCAUUUUUCAAUAUAGAGACAUUUGAAAUUGUUAUUCUACAUGUUUUUCUCUUUGGAAUGUGUUCAAGCUACUCAGCAGCUUUGUCCUACUUUCUGUAACUGAUUAUGACAGAGAUUGUACGUAGCCAGCAUGGGGUAUUUAGUGCCUGCUUUCCUGCUGGAUGGUGUGUGCCUCCUGGUCAUGCUUUAUCUUCUCUUGCUUCUAAGUUUCAGCAGGUCAUGAGUUCAGCAUUUUGGCGAGGAAUAGUCCCUGCUGAUGCAUCUGUAACUUCUCUGGUUUCUCCCCAAAAAAGGUCCUCACCUCACAUCUUCAAGAAAAGCACAUGAAGCUGAGGCUUCUGAUUACUCAAAUUCCAUUCCCACACUUGUGCAGAAGCAGAGAUCAUGUCUGCCAAAGCUGAGGUCAAGCAUGUUAUUCCUGUGACCUACUUCAAACAGAGUUAAAAGAAACAUUGAACCUUCCUUUGAAAAGCAUGUGAAGCAUAUUAGUUUCCUGGGUUUUACUGUUACAAAUUAGACUCAAGGAAGCUCCUCUGACCAAUACCGUCCGAAGAGAGACUGCAAUUCAAGUUAAAUUAUACAAGAAGGACCAUGCUCUCCAUGCCAACCUGAAAAUUGUCUCACUGAUUAUAAAGAUCACAGGAUCUGGCCUCCUCGUUGUUACAAGCUGCUCAUGCUAUCUAUUAAGGUUGCUAGACUUCCUACUGUGAGGUCUUUCCCUCUCCCCAGGAGUAAAUCGUAGUAGCUAUCACAUUAGUAGUAGACAUCAUUUUAACCUUUGCUAUGUACUUGCUUCAGAUCAACUCGUUGGAAAUUCAGCCAAAAAAGCUUGGAUUUUAUUCCCCUCCAGUUAAAAUUGCUGCAGUCCUUUCUCCAAAAGCAAUUCCUACAGUGUUAAUAAAUAAAUAAAUUUGGUUUGGUCCUCUCAUAGGCCAAAAAGCUUGCAUCCUUGGGAUAGGGCUAGACUUGGUCAAGUACCAAGUAUGUGAUACUUUGUCCUUGUUCAUUCUUUAUCAGAAAAGGUAUCUCACACUGUACCGUUCCUCUGCAUAGCAAACACGUAACGUACAGCAUAAACACACUUGUCGUAGAGUUCCUCCUUUCUGAUAACUUGAGAUCAGAGUAUCAGAGCUAACUAAGAAGCCACUGCAAACAGCACUUCAAACACCUCUCACAAAAAGCAUCCUGAAAAAUCCAGCGUUACGCCCGUGUUUGUAGUGAGGCUGCUAUGGUGGUACUGCUCUUAGCAGUCACAGGAUCUCCUCAUAGCUACUUGAAUUGAUAAAUUGCCAGUAGUCCCAUGGAAGUUAAGAUAAUUUGCUCUUUUGGACAAAACGUGCAGUGUUGUACAGCUGACUCAAAACAUGAUAAUUUCUCACACACACUGAAUUAACUAGCAAGCAACGCACAAAAAUACCAGUUUUCCAGAUUUUUUUGGUGUUAUUCCAAAUUCUGUAAAUAAGAAUCUUUGCAGUUUCCACCUCCCACCUAGACAUUAUAGAUGAAUACACUGAAGGAUUUAGGUAACUUUUUAGUCUGUUUAAAUACCAUGUUAGAGCACUGCUUGUGGAUUGCUGUGGCCUUUAACACAAAUAUAUGAAAGAUGCAUUUGCAUGGGAAUUCAAGCAGCUGCAGAACAGUCCUGCCUUCCUGUCAAGCACUGUGAAACACUGAAAUAAGAUUAGGGACUUCAUUUUGCACAUGUCCAGGGACUGAACUUUGCAAGUUCCUUUGCAAUUUCAGGUGAAGAUUUUCAGCAGUAAGUUGACAAUGCAGCAAACAAAAACAAGGACAAAUCACUCAGUCCCAAGUACAAGGGCAGCCACAUAAACUGCAACAUCCUAUGUUAGUAUAGCAGUAUAGCAAUACUUUUUGCAGUGAAGACCAUAAUCUCACAGGUUUUCUUCUUCAGUUUGAAGAGGAUACUUAUAUGUAUCAAUUGCUGCUCAUUACAGUCUUAAGCUGUAUUUUCUAUUCAAAACCUCACACCAAGUUUAUAAGAAAAUGCAUAUUUGCUGGUAUGGUUCAGUUCUUGCCAGCUCUGGACCUUACUGGAAAGGAAUUGAAAUUAUUAAACUAUUCUUUCAAAGGGAUACACACAGGAAAAAAGGAUCUAUUAGACAGUUGGUGAAAUAUGCAGUGUUUCAGGACAAGGAGGGGUGUUUUUUGGUUUUCCCACUUUUUCAGUAGAAGAGUCCCUUGGAAAUUUGGUACAAGGAUUAGUGUCAGUAGUAUGAAGAGACUAGGUGUUUUAGCUUACCUUUUGUUGGCAGUGAAGUCCAAUUCUGGAAGGAGACUUAAAAAUAGAUUUUAAAAAAAAUCAAGGAAUAAAAUUCAUUGUUGUAACAUGAAUAAAAAUUAAGCCUGUGUAUAUGGGCCUCUCCUCAACAGGCUGCAUAAGCCUUAAGUAAUUUUUGAAUGUGAAGUUAGACUAUUAUAUUCCUCACCUCUCACCAAUGAUCCCUCUAUUUUGGGCUUACUGGUGAAUUUCAUUCAAAAUUUUUGCUAUGGGAAUUGAAAACACAGAGAGAGAAGCAUCUGUACUGGGAUGGUUUAUUGAUGCUUUCAAGAGAUUCAGUCUUCCUGAGGAAGUUAACGAAACAGAAUUUCUACUUCCAGAAUCUGUACCUGAUCUUUCGUCCAAAGAACGGAUCUCUUUCUGCAUAAAGCUCUCUUUCAGCCAAAGUGAUAUGAUAAGCUUCAGCUUCAAGCUGCACAUAAAAAUUUGCCUCACUGUAUUAAGUCCAUUUAUUUUGGGUAAGUUUCACUGUCUCAACCUAAAAUUUGGUUCAGCUAAUAAUUCUAAUUGUUGUAGAAGUCUCAAGUCCUCACUCAGCAUUGACGCCAUGGUUUCCAAAGACUUGUCCAAAAUGAACACAACUGUAUUUGUAAUUUAGGAGGAAUUUACUUUUUCUACUGCCAGCGCACUUAAAAAAAGCCAUGUAAACAUCAUGGACCGUUGCUAUCAGCAUUACCUUCCUUGAAAGCAGAGGAGAACUGAAAAGGAGUUGCUCUGCUCAGAUCUUUGUCAGGGUUUGUUACUCUUCACCAUUUAAGAACAGAGCUCAGACUGUAUGCGUCUUCCAGCUUCUCCACAAAAAGGCUUCUGGUUUCCUCGUGUCUGUUAAUAGUGUCACACAGUCAUUACAUAUCAAUGCCCUUUACAAAUUUACCUUGGAGGGACAGACAAGGAGGUAGAUCAUUCAUUAGAGAACACAUUUGAAAGAAAGCAGGCUGGACAAUAUGACUGCAAUGUUUCUCUGCAGCAGUAAGUUCUCGUACCAAAGUUAGCCCGUUAAGUUUAAUAGUUAAGGAAAAACAGAGUAGGUAUUUACUCACACACAAUUUUAUGAGGGGAACAACUGAGUUGCAGCAAGAAAAACACACUUUUUAGACAAACUGAUAUUACAUCACAUUAGUGGGCCACAGAACUUUUUAAAAAAAUAAACCUUUUGAGACAUGAGAAUGAAAUCACAUUAGCAUGCUUUAAAUAGCUGAACUGCUCUUCAAAGCUUAAGUUUUCAGCUAUUGGCAAAGACAAUGAUAUCUCCUCGUUUGGAAAUUAAAAAGCAUUUAGCAAUAAGUUAAAGCUAGCCUACAUGUAAGUGGGCUAAAUACUAGGCAAAUAUUUUUCCCUUUUCACAUUUAACAUGAUACUACAGUUCAUCAUUUCUGUAGCUUAUGUGUUGCUGUGCAAUGCCCUACUGAAGUUUCACAUUUACUCUCCAAAAGAGAA